AUGAAAGGACAGACAGGAGGCAUUACUGAAGCACAUAUCCAGCAUGACAGUAGGGCACAGAGAACUGUAAAAGCAAGUCCUGAGGUAAUGCCUCGAUUGUGCCAGUUCCAAUCAGACCGACCCGCGCUGGUGAAGGUGAGCUGUACAGCUGCAUUUGUGUUUGUCUGUGCUUUUCUAGUGCUUUCUGUCAGGUACAGUGCAAAUGUUUCUGAUAGAAAUUCUGGGCUGUCAAAGCUGUGGCACAGUGGGUAGUACACGUGUUCAUGAUACGUAAGAGCUGCAUGCUCACGAAGUUAGAGGCUUAUAUUUCUCUUGUGUCAAGAAAUGUACUAAACAAAAAUUUUAAUAUCUUACUCACCCUUAUUAAAUCUCAUACUUACAACUUGCAACAUUCCAAAUCCUUAGAAGUCACAUGGUCGCUGAGGAACAGCAAAACGUGGGUCAUUAUUGACUGAUAAUCAUCACUUCUGCUGGAGCUCUCAAAUUUCAUUCGCACUUCUGCAUGUUCAAACUUGCUGCAGUAAAUAAGGCACAUACAUGAAUGUAUUUAAUCACUUUGGGGAUCUAUGCAUUACCAUUUUUCUAAUAAUAAUAAUAAAAAAAAAGAUAAGAAAUGACUCCUCUAAAUCAAACCCAGCCACAGAUUUAUAUAUGAAUGAAUGAAUAAAUAAAUAAUUGUAAUUAGAAAUAUAUCACUCACACUUUGGAUUGUGUUUCUCACAAUUAGAGUUUACAUUGUGCAAUUCAGAUUUUUUUUCCCCCUCAUAAUUCUGAGUUUACAUUUUGCAAUUCAGAUUUGUUUACACUGCACAAUUCAGACAUUUUUCCAUACAAUUAACAGUUAAUAUUUUGCAACAAUUAUUAUCUCAAUUAUUUAAUUAUUUAAUAAUAAUAAUAAUAAUAAUAAUAAUAAUAAUAAUAAUAAUAAUCAGAUAUAUACAAGUCAGAACUGUAAACAUUAUCAUUCAUUCAUUCAUUCAUUCAUUUUGUGUGCCAAAAUAAAUAAAUAAAUAAAUACAAAAAUCCUGUGUAAUUUUAAUUUCUGUCAUAUUGGGAAUAUUUUAUGCUGCUGCAUUUCUCUGUAGGAACCGGUGAUUUAUAAUACAGUGAAACAUUUACUGUUUUGGUUAUAAUCUGACAACAAUCGCAACAUGAACUGGAGAACAUUGGUUCUCGGCAACUAAAAGUCUUUGGGAUGAACUAAAAUUGCCAGGUCCAAACCCACCUGACAAACACUUUAACAAUCUAACAUUUCAUUAUCUAUAAAAAAUGGAUGGAGUACAAAAAUGUUAAUUCAUUUAAAAUAUUCUAAACAUCACAAUACUAAAGAUAAGUGCCAAAGCUAUCAUGUUUGACUUGUAUAUUUUCAUCUCAUUCAAUUCACAAUCCUCUGUCUCCUAGCAAUUCAUUAAACUCAGUAAAAUGUUUGAUACCAGACUGUAGAUCAUUUUCAUGAGCUUAUAGAUGGCACGGACCAGUAUAUUUCAAUUAGUUACAUAUCUUUAGCACAAACACAUUAAAGAUGUUUUUCUGUCUCUCUCCCUCUGCCCAUUCGGCACAAAUUAGCGAAUACUGGAUCAUCUUAUGAAAAGACUCCACAAGUCCUUGAAGUUCCACUGUAUAUCGCAGUAUUUCCGAGCCUGAGAUUAAUUGCCUCUUUUACGCCCCGACAGUAAUCCUUCAGACCACUUCCUCCAAGCUCGGCUACAUCUGAAGCCGCGCGACAAGUUUGGAGAGAAACAUAAGCGCAAGAUGUUAAGCCACUUCACCAAUAUCCUGCCUGACACUCCACAGGACUUUAUUCCCUUGGAUUUACUAAGCGAGGGGGGGGGGGUGGACACGCAAGGUGGCUGCAGAUUGCAUUCAUGGGUGGAUUUGGAAAAAAAUAAAAUAAAAUAAAUAAAUACAGUCACUGUUUGUUUAUUUGCUUGCCUUUUUUUCCCCCAAUGUCUUUUUAAUUUUGUCUACACUGAUUGUGCCAUAUGUUGUCCUGGUGUCUAAAUCCUCAGAAAUACAAGUGCAGUAUUUAACACAGCAUCGUAAUAAUUCUGUUGUUUAUCAAGUUGGCAGAAUUCACACAUGCUUUCGGAUGGCUUUGCAGUCCGGCAUAUGCCGCCCAUGACAUCAGAAAAGGUCACUGUGUUCUCUCAAUGAUUUGAUGCUGGCAACAGAUGGUCUGCAUUGUUGUUUCAUUUGUACGAUUUGUGAAACUAUAAAACAUUUUCUAUUUUUCUGCUCGGAUGAUGUUUUCAGAUGAAACACAAUCACUCAGCCAUAACUUAUGUCUUUAGUAUGUCAAAAAUGUUAUUUUAGUGGUAACAGCAAGGCUUUUAGGUAAUGAUUCUUAUAAAAAAUACCUACUUUGGAUUUGUGCAAAAAUAGCUUUAAAAGACUUAAAAUUAUAGUGUGGCAGAUCUAAUUGGGUUCUCCUUCAACUUCAGGCACUUUAAUGUCCCAGGGGUUGAUUUUUUUUUUUUAAACAAACAAUAUAAACAAACAUAUUUGAUCUACUUUCCUUUACAUAUUUUGUUUAUUUUCCACUAUUUCUGCAUGCAUCAUUUCCAAGCUGUAAUAGUCAAAUUAUGCAAAAAAGUUUGAAAAUGUUAUUUAAUCGUGUGUGUUUAAGAUUUUGAUUUAAUUUUGUUAUGAAUAUGUUUAAAAUGUUGUUUCCACCACAGAAUGAAUUACGAUUGGAUGAUUCCUUAAAAUUAUGGUUCAGAAAUAUUUAUAUACAAUACUUGGAGAGAGAAAAAAAUACAAUAAUGUUACAAUUUUUAACAUUAGUUUACUAAUUUGCAAAUUUGAACUAACAUUGAAAAUAAUUUUAAAGCAUGCAUUAAUUUUAAUUACAAAAUUUAGUAACACGUUAUUAAAAUUGUUAAAA
ensembl:lncRNA